CAGAGAGGAGGGCAGAACAUGAUUGUGUAAUUAAAUAGGCCCGUAGCAUUUCAACUGAAGAGAUGGAGCUGGACAUCUAGAAAUGCUUUGACGUAUGCUAACCUGGGAGCAGUGGUGAAAUUCAGCCGGUUCUAUCCGGAUCAGCCCAGACGUCGUCACAUCCUGUUUUUGACCCUCUGUGGAAGCACAGAAGGCUCUGCGCAUGCGUGGAGGAGGCACGCGUGCUCACAUUUGCGAAGGCCUUCUCUGAGGCAACUCCAAUAAAAGGUUGUUGUGAUUGUUCUGGUUGUGAUUGUUAAUCCUCUAUGGCAGGGCUGUCAA